GCCUCGUUCCCAGGGUCAAACUAGAGCUUCUCCUAUCUUGAAUAUGUGACUCACUCCCUAUCUUGAAUAUGUGUGAUUUCCCCCGUAGACAACGAGUUACAUGUGAAAAUGCGGGUCAUGUUUUUCUGCACACACCCUGUACAUGUACGUAUAUUUACCUUGUGCCUUAUCUUGAAAAUGCGUUGCACCCUUGCACGGCAGCCUUCUUUUGUGCAACAGCAGCGCAACAAUCAUUUCCCCAACAGUGACGAGGAUUCAGUGUCUUGCUGCUUCUCGCUACUCGUCCUUCUGAGGAACUGAUUGCUUCUGAAAUAUCUUUUUCUCCCUCCACGACUUCGACGAUAGAAGCGGCCCAUGAACGCAAGCUCACAAACAACAACAACAAAGGGAAGGCAGAAAUGUGUGCACAUCCAUAACUGAAAAACCCGAGACUAGGGGACAGAAAAAUGACAAAAACAGACAAGG